AAUAAAUAAAUAAAUGGUUUUCGAUGCAUUCCUAUGUGAAAUCUUGCCUCGACUUACAAACUUUUCGAUGUACAAGUGCCAUUUUAAUAUGGAUUAAGGGCAGGAAAGGAAAGGGGGUCCUACUGUAUUCUGCACAGUCUUACAAACUUGAGUGUCACCUUUUAGAUUAGUGGAUGAGCAGGUAGCACCAGCUGUAGCUUACAGUUGUUUCUCAUUUUUAUAUAAUAAUAAAUAUUUAAGGUACAUAUUGACUGUGUUGCUGUACCUCACUGUAAUUGUACUGGCUCAGCUGCUGCCCAGUUAAUGAUGGGAGUUGUAGUCCAGCAUCAGGAGGCCAUUUCUCCCCCACCCUGAUCUAUCCGUUAAACUUCCAGUAAAAACCUAGAAGUGGGGACAAAACAAGGUAUCUGGUGGAACUGGCUCUAUCUGCUACACACAACAUAUUGCAGCUAGAGGUUCAUGCUGUAGUGCCCACCUACAGCUGAGAUUCCUUCUGGGAACUGCUGAGAGAGUGAGAAGUCAUGUACUGUUGCGAAACUCAGUGAGGCAAAAUGGAGAGAAGGCAGCAGUUUGGUAAUAAAGCAAAAACUAAACUAAACGAGGGAAAGGAACUGCAACUGGUGCAUGGAGAAGGAGCAUUAUCUGGUGCGCAGGAAAGAGUUAAUGCAUGUGUCUGUUACAAAAACUUAAGAGGUAACUUGGGAGUUAGGUCUUGCAUUACUGAAAAGAACAAAGUGAUAGAGGAAAGCACUCUUGUGUGUCUGGUAAGGGAAACAAGGUUUCAGAGUAAGAUUCAGAGAUCAAUAAUAGUACAAAGAGGAGAGUAAACUGGUUACAGACAGAAAAGAGGUCAACAGAACAGCUUUCAAUUUCAAACGGAUAAAAUUGUAACCAAAAUGCUUUUCUCCAGUUAACACUGCGAUGCCUCAUGUUGUAAACAUAAAAACGGUCCUCAAGGA